rnacentral:rRNA from 1 species
CCUACGGGGGGCAGCAGUGAGGAAUCUUGGGCAAUGGGCGAAAGCCUGACCCAGCCAUGCCGCGUGAAUGAUGAAGGUCUUAGGAUUGUAAAAUUCUUUCACCGGGGAAGAUAAUGACGGUACCCGGAGAAGAAGCUCCGGCUAACUUCGUGCCAGCAGCCGCGGUAAUACGAAGGGGGCUAGCGUUGCUCGGAAUUACUGGGCGUAAAGGGAGCGUAGGCGGACGAUCAAGUUGAGGGUGAAAGCCCGGGGCUCAACCUCGGAACUGCCUUCAAAACUGAUCGUCUUGAGUAUGGGAGAGGUAUGCGGAACUCCGAGUGUAGAGGUGAAAUUCGUAGAUAUUCGGAAGAACACCAGUGGCGAAGGCGGCAUACUGGCCCAUUACUGACGCUGAGGCUCGAAAGCGUGGGGAGCAAACAGGCUUAGAUACCCCGGUAGUC